rnacentral:rRNA from 1 species
UACGGAAGGCAGCAGUGGGGAAUAUUGCACAAUGGGCGCAAGCCUGAUGCAGCCAUGCCGCGUGUAUGAAGAAGGCCUUCGGGUUGUAAAGUACUUUCAGUCGUGAGGAAGGUGUUAAGGUUAAUAACCUUAGCAAUUGACGUUAGCGACAGAAGAAGCACCGGCUAACUCCGUGCCAGCAGCCGCGGUAAUACGGAGGGUGCGAGCGUUAAUCGGAAUUACUGGGCUAAAGGGCACGCAGGCGGUUAAUUAAGUUGGAUGUGAAAUCCCCGGGCUUAACCUGGGAAUGGCAUUCAAGACUGGUUAGCUAGAGUCUUGUAGAGGGGGUUAGAAUUCCAUGUGUAGCGGUGAAAUGCGUAGAGAUGUGGAGGAAUACCGGUGGCGAAGGCGGCCCCUGGGACAAAGACUGACGCUCAUGUGCGAAAGCGUGGGGAGCAAACAGGGAUUAGAUACC